CCGUUCGCCACGAAGCGUUAAGACGACCUCGUCGCUGGUACGACCAAGUGCAAGCGGCUAAUAUAUCACGUCCUCCGUGUACUCGCGCGGGUAGCCGUGCAAAAACUCAAGGAAAACCACAGUGUAAGUGGAUACGGGCGUCGUUCUUUGACGGUGACAUUUCGCUGCGAGCGUAGAAACGGAGUUUCAACGAUGAGAGAACACCUUAGGACGAGACAUCGAUACUCUGGGACGAGGAAAAAUCAUCCUGCUGCAAACUAGUCCGGCACACGUCCGUGCGAUUCGAUGCGAAAAACUACCUUUGCCAAAAACGGUUAUUUAAUCUUUCAGGAGAGAACCUCAACGGGGUCAUGGAUGUUGCAACGUGUACUUUCGAAUUUCACAUGAUUCCCUCUUGGCAAUUUAAAAUUUAACACCUCAGUAUUUUUCUACCCAAUUUUUCAGUACCCUUAGGUAGCCAGGGGUGCUGAACACUUCUUCAUGUUCAUAUUUUAGAAAUCAGUGGGAGGAUUUAAAAAGAAUAGGUCGAAUAUGGAAGGAAUGAAUCAUCCAAAUUCUGCUAUUUGAAUAGCACUUACGUAAUGCUGCGAACUGGUUACAAUGCAACUUAAACAUAUCACGUUUCUUCAGAAAUACUCAAUGAACGCGUUUCAACUUCCAUAGUGGAAAGAUGGAAAAAAAAGGAUUCAUUUAUCAUUCGUUUCUACAAAGUGAUCGAAGGCCAACGUCCAGCGAGCUAAAGAAAGCAAGCCAAGAAUGAAUGACAUUCUAACGUGUCUGACAAACACUUACGGUAAAUUAAGAGCAAUUACCCGGCCACCGGCAUACUUUAAUGAGCAUUGCCAGAAAGGGGUGGGGAGUGGAAACCGACAGGGGAAGAGAGUAUAAAGAUUAGCGGCUUUGAAACGAGUAGGCGGAGUGAAAUGAAUCACAAAAGUGAAUGACACGACGAUCAUCGAGGAAGGUUAAUUCAACUCCAGUCUCACCUCGAGGUAAACCCAUGAAAAUCCGUCGACUGAUAAAUUUUCCCAGCACCCCUAAUUAACGUGACACCUAGCGUAGAAAGUUUUCAGUGAAAUUAAAACUAGCGAUGAUCACUUCACCUUCACCUUGACUUGGAAAAAAAAAACAACUCGACCUUCCGUCGUCGUAAUUAUUGAAAAAGAAGAAGUCCGCCUAAUGAGGAAAGCAAUUAAUGAUAGAGAAAGAAGUCUCUUUAUGAAGUAACUAAUAAACGACCGGUUCUUUCAUACGAUCUACCGAGUUUAGGGUUAAUCUGCCGUUUAAUCGGUUCUCUCUUCAUAUUAAGCCAGCACUUGAAGCGGCUGUGUGUGUACCUGCUCAGACCCGUACAAAAGAACACGCUACAUACCCGACGCCGCAACGCUGAAGGUAAGAUGAACUCGCCACGAACACAGCGUCAAGCUAUUGAUUUUCCACCAGAGUCACCGUGGCGCCAAUGUUCGUGAUACAUAUUAUACAUGGGGUGGUUCUCUAAAAAAAAAAUAGUUCCCUCAAACUCCUUCAAUUUCGCAGGAAAGAAAUAAUUAAUUCCACCUUUACAAUUUUUUUAAAUUUUAAUUCCAAAGAAUAUUUUAUCAAUUCCUCUGUUUUAGACUUUAUUUAGGGUCAUAUAUAAAAAAGGAUUAAUAGUAUUUGAAUGAGUUUUUACAAGAUGAUUUCUGGUGUCUUUGUAUGAUUAUGUAAUUCAUGAUAACUUAGUAUCUCUAGUGUAGUAGUACAUGAAUACAAUUUGUGAUAAUUUAUCACUUCUGAUACGGUAUUAUUAUACAUGAUUCAUAGCUAGUUGAUAAUUGAAAAGCAAAGGGAGAGUAUAGUUUAGAUCAUGUAUAUUUCUUUUUUUCUAUUUUGAGAUUCUAAUUGGUUUAUCACACGCGAUGGUUUUAAGCAUAUAUUCGUGCAGAACUUAAUGUAAGAGGUUCAAAGAUAAAGACCCUUCAUUUGAUAAUCGAUGAUACUUAAUGUUUAGUUAGAAAGGUAUCGCUAGAAAUUAGCUAAAUUUUCUAUCGAAUCACCCGGUAUAUCUUCUUUGUACCUAUGCACGACAAUCCCGGUGAGGCAGUGACGAGCACUCUUACAAUAUUCUCGAGUGAAUGUAAAGGACUUCGUCGAAAAAGAGAAAGCUCUGGGAUGAUUUUGAAGCGUGUUAAGUUGACUGGUUGCAAUAUUCGUCGACUUUUUAUUCUAUGAACAAAAGACAAUGAAUGUAGGACGACCGGAACGCUGAAAAUGAAAAUUUAAUCAAUCUCGACGAUUUUCUUUGACGCUCUUUUAAUAAAAUGUCUUAUCACCUUCUCUCCAAUUAUAAUCAUCAAUCAAAUGCUAUUGUUUGCCAAUAUACUCCAGUCUCCUGCUGAGCAAACAAGAUAAUCAAGAGGUAACGAAUUUUGAGACAAGUGGAAUGUAGAAAACCCGAGGUGCACGGGGGGUGACCUGAUUACAGCGUCCCUGCCAAAAGGAUGCCAUCGACAAUACGACUUCAUUUGACUCGGAAGAGGGGUCCAUUGGUUAAUGAGGUUAAGAGCGAGACUAGACGAUGCAUCGACUCGGAUAUUGAGUAAACGAACUAACGACGUGUUAAAAUAGCCAGACUUACUGCUAAUUUCGAUUCAUUACUAGUCACAACCAAUUAUUCGGUGAACUUACAAAAAAAAA